rfam:Clostridium hiranonis DSM 13275 Scfld0 genomic scaffold, whole genome shotgun sequence.
GCGGGAAUAGUUCAGCGGUAGAGCGCGACCUUGCCAAGGUCGAAGUCGCGAGUUCGAAUCUCGUUUCCCGCU